AUAAUGUAUACUAGUACUAUAUUUCUUAUUCAAAAUCAUAGCAAAUUCACUUAAAUGUAUACAAGGCUGUGCUCGCAAUUUACGAAAUAUUUUCGAGCACAUUUGUAAGCAUAAAUGGAAAAAACGACCAUUUUUCAAAAUAUUGAGUGGUAUUUCUAGCACUACUAUGUGCUAGCAAAUUUGUGAGCAACUGAUGCUAGCAAAUUUACCCAUUAGUCAAAUUUCCUUCUGUUUGCGAGCACUCGUAUGUGGUAGCAAUUUUUUUUCAUGCAAAAAGGAUAUUUAAUCAUUUUCCACCGAUAUUUUUACGAGAGGAAGCAAAUGUGCUAGCAAAUUAGCGAGCAUAUGUACAUGUAGAGGUGCUAGCAAAAUCUUUGUAGAGGUGCUAGCAAAAUCUUUAGCUGUUAUCCAGAGCGGAUUUCCUCAUUCUCAUUUUUUAAUUCCGACGUAGACUUUGUGUAUUAGAAAAAGAAAAAAAAUGAAUAUUAAUUUGUCUAAUUUAAUGACUUUUUGUUUUUUUUGGAAAGACCAAAAACUACGACUGAUUCUCGCCGCCCCUGAUUCUCAUUUCUCCCCUCUCCGCCGCCAGCCACAGCCACCGAUCAAGGAACAACACAUGUCAGUGAUCAUUUACAAACUGCUGGAACAAACCGAUUGAGGAACAACAGAUUUCAGUGAUCAUUUCAGUAAAACAGCGGCGAUAUUGCCCUACAUCCGUCUCAGUUUUUUCAGUUCAAAUUAUGAUUUGUUUUCAUUGUUUCUGAGAAUUGGAUUGAUUAAUUACAAUUGCAUAUUGUUAUUUGAAGUCUGAAAUUGCAACCCGAUCAUUUCUAAUCGGCUAUCUAACUAAUCUAUGAUGAUUCAUGUACAUAAAUUUGUUACAUUAAUUGAUGCAGAUCAUAUUUGCUACUCUUGAUGGUAUUAUUACCAACUGAUGAUUAUUGAUCCACCGAUUGAGGAACAACUGAUCUUUUUGUUCUAUUUGCUUCGCCACCAGCCUCUCCCUCUCAAAUUGAGCACAUAUUCUGAGUUGAGUUUGUCUGCCAAAGAAGAUAGCCCACAGCCUGCAGUGGAGCAGUUCUUACAUCUGCACCCUCAGCCCGGUUGCAUCGUCGGCUCCCUCUCCAGUUUCAAAGACAAAUACAGGUUAUCAACGACAAGUGCACUUAAUUAGAGAAAAUACUUAAUUUGUACAAAAUCGUACAGUGCACUUACAAGUAAAAGCAAAAUCAAUCAAAAUAAUUACUACUGUAUAUAGUAUAUACUCAUACUAA